UACGUAGGGGGCAAGCGUUGUCCGGAUUUAUUGGGCGUAAAGAGCGUGUAGGCGGCCAUGCAGGUCCGCUGUGAAAACUCGAGGCUCAACCUCGAGAGGUCGGUGGAAACCGCAUGGCUAGAGUCCGGAAGAGGAGAGUGGAAUUCCCGGUGUAGCGGUGAAAUGCGUAGAUAUCAGGAGGAACACCUGUGGCGAAAGCGACUCACUGGACCAUAACUGACGCUGAUGCACGAAAGCUAGGGGAGCGAACGGG
rnacentral:rRNA from 1 species